GUGCUCACUUCAGCAGCACAUAUACUAAAAUGGGAAUGAUACAGAGAAGAUUAGUGUGGCCCCUGCAGAAGGAUGACAUGCAAAUUCAUGAAGCAUUCCAUAUUUAA